GCUGACUCCUAGUCAAGGGCUCGUGGUGGCUGGUGGGCCCUGAACGAGGGUUCUGGAG
rnacentral:pre_miRNA from 1 species